UGUGUCUGUCACACUGUGCAGUCUGUUCGACAGAAGCCUUGCUUGUGGCCGCCCGGGAGCAAGCCUGGCCUUGCCUGAAUGGGUGGGAGGCUGACACUGCAGCGGACAGGCAGGGAGGCCAAGGGUUACUGCGGGGCAUCCAGCCCAGCCACCCUGUGUAAAGGACCCUUCGCUCCACCGCGGUCACAGGUCAUAAUAGUUAGGAUGCCAGGCCACUCCACUCCGUUGCCAGUUCACCAUGAUCAAGCCAGCAUCACUCAAGACAGCAUGAUUGAUGUAGCAGCGUUCUCUAUGAUUUAAAACAGCAGCAUUCACAGCUGGGCCUGGUUAUUCCAGAGAAGAGGAAGCACGCUGGCAGCUGGAGGAAGAUGAAGUCAUGGAGGGCUCCCUGGUGGAGGCUACACGUUGGCUACCCAUAAGGUAUCCGAGAAAGAGCAGGAGUGAGCAAGAGAGAACCAGCAAGUGAGUGAAAAGAAGCCUGGGAGCUGAGUGGCUCUCCAUUCUGCCACACCUGUCCUACAGCUUCAGGACACCUGAGGGUCCACACGGGCACUUUACACUCCCAGAGUGAAUCCUCACACCUGUCCUCAUUGCAUCACCAUGGAAGCUACACAGAGAAUUAGCGAAUGUGGGCCUUCAGAACUACGUAUGCUGUAUAAACUGGACAUGCAGGACCCACAGGAAAGUGACUGCUGAACUUUGCCAAUACAAGGUAGGACAGUCCUUUGAUAUUCCUGCUUCACAGAAGAAUAUGCCAGAUAUUCUUCAGGACACACAGGAAAUUGACUAAUGAACUUUGCCCAUAAAAGGCAGGACAGCUCUUCCAGAUUCCUGCUUCACUGAAAAGUCUGCCAGAUAUUCUAGGCAUGUAGGCUGAAGAUGGAUGCCCCACCAUUACAGAAGAACUUUGGGUGAUUGUCCAGGCAGCCAAAUGUCUCUGUUGUUAGGUAAUAUUACAUCCUUCUGGGAUUUUUGAGAGAGUUAAAGACUAAAUAAUUAAAAUCAUAGUUUUCCUUAGUUAUAAUAGAAAGUUAAUUAGGUAUAAAACUUUGUAAUCACUAAGAUAGACAAUAGAGUAUUUUCUCUGCAUUUACUAAAUAAAAAUGGACUGAAUAUUGUAAGUGUAAUUCUUACUUGAUAACUGUUUGUGUUGUAAAUAGUUUUGUUACGUUAAAGUUAAAACCUUUCAUUUUAUUAGACAAAAGGGGGAAAUGUUGUGGAAUAUUAUUUUAAGAUGUGUUACAUUC